rnacentral:rRNA from 1 species
AUUGAACGCUGGCGGCAGGCCUAACACAUGCAAGUCGAGCGGAUGAAGGGAGCUUGCUCCUGGAUUCAGCGGCGGACGGGUGAGUAAUGCCUAGGAAUCUGCCUGGUAGUGUGGGAUAACGUCCGGAAACGGGCGCUAAUACCGCAUACGUCCUGAGGGAGAAAGUGGGGGAUCUUCGUACCUCACGCUAUCAGAUGAGCCUAGGUCGGAUUAGCUAGUUGGUGGGGUAAAGGCCUACCAAGGCGACGAUCCGUAACUGGUCUGAGAGGAUGAUCAGUCACACUGGAACUGAGACACGGUCCCGACUCCUACGGGAGGCAGCAGUGGGGAAUAUUGGACAAUGGGCGAAAGCCUGAUCCAGCCAUGCCGCGUGUGUGAAGAAGGUCUUCGGAUUGUAAAGCACUUUAAGUUGGGAGGAAGGGCAGUAAGUUAAUACCUUGCUGUUUUGACGUUACCAACAGAAUAAGCACCGGCUAACUUCGUG